CCUACGGGUGGCUGCAGUGGGGAAUAUUGGACAAUGGGCGAAAGCCUGAUCCAGCCAUGCCGCGUGUGUGAAGAAGGCCUUCGGGUUGUAAAGCACUUUCAGUGGGGAAGAAAGCCUUGGGGCUAAUACCCUCGAGGAAGGACAUCACCCACAGAAGAAGCACCGGCUAACUCCGUGCCAGCAGCCGCGGUAAUACGGAGGGUGCGAGCGUUAAUCGGAAUUACUGGGCGUAAAGCGCGCGUAGGCGGUCUGAUAAGCCGGUUGUGAAAGCCCCGGGCUCAACCUGGGAACGGCAUCCGGAACUGGCAGGCUAGAGUGCAGUAGAGGAAGGUAGAAUUCCCGGUGUAGCGGUGAAAUGCGUAGAGAUCGGGAGGAAUACCAGUGGCGAAGGCGGCCUUCUGGACUGACACUGACGCUGAGGUGCGAAAGCGUGGGUAGCAAACAGGAUUAGAUACCCGUGUAGUC
rnacentral:rRNA from 1 species